rnacentral:rRNA from 1 species
ACUCAAAUGAAUUGACGGGGAGGCGCACAAGCAGUGGAGCGUGUGGUUUAAUUCGAGACGAAGCGAAAAACCUCACCUGGGUUUGACAUGUAUCUGCAAGCGCACGGAAACGUGUGAUCUUCGAGAGUGAUACACAGAUGCUGCAUGGCUGUCGUAAGUUCGUGGCGUGAGCUGUCCCCUUAAGUGGGUCAACGAACGAAACCCGCGCCGUAUGUUAAAUAAUUCAUGCGGGACUGCCUCAUUUUUUGAGGAGGAAGGAGCGGAUGACGUCAAGUCCGCACGGCUCUUACACCCAGGGCUACACACACCCUACAAUGGCGAAAAACAACGAGUUGCAAACAGGUAACUGUAAGCUAACCUCUGAAAUUUCGCCUCAGUUCAGAUCGAGGGCUGCAACUUGCCCUCGUGAAGUCGGAAUUGCUAGUAAUCGCGAAUCAGCAGGUCGCGGUGAAUACGUUCUCGCCUCUUGUACACACCGCCCGU